UGGGGAAUUUUGGACAAUGGGCGAAAGCCUGAUCCAGCAAUGCCGCGUGUGUGAAGAAGGCCUUCGGGUUGUAAAGCACUUUUGUCCGGAAAGAAAUCCUUGGCUCUAAUACAGUCGGGGGAUGACGGUACCGGAAGAAUAAGCACCGGCUAACUACGUGCCAGCAGCCGCGGUAAUACGUAGGGUGCAAGCGUUAAUCGGAAUUACUGGGCGUAAAGCGUGCGCAGGCGGUUUGCUAAGACCGAUGUGAAAUCCCCGGGCUCAACCUGGGAACUGCAUUGGUGACUGGCAGGCUAGAGUAUGGCAGAGGGGGGUAGAAUUCCACGUGUAGCAGUGAAAUGCGUAGAGAUGUGGAGGAAUACCGAUGGCGAAGGCAGCCCCCUGGGCCAAGUACUGACGCUCAUGCACGAAAGCGUGGGGAGCAAACNGGAUUAAUACCCUGGUAGUCCACGCCCUAAANGAUGUCAACUAGUUGUUGGGGAUUCAUUUCCUUAGUAACGUAGCUAACGCGUGAAGUUGACCGCCUGGGGAGUACGGUCGCAAGAUUAAAACUUAAA
rnacentral:rRNA from 1 species